AGCUAGAUAGUUUAGGGGUUAGAACAUUAGGCCUAUAAUCUAAAGACCUAGGUUUAAUUCCUAGUUUAGCUA
rnacentral:tRNA from 1 species